UAACAUGAGAGUUUGAUCCUGGCUCAGGAUGAACGCUGGCGGCGUGCCUAACACAUGCAAGUCGAGCGGGGGUGUGCCCUUCGGGGGACACCUUAGCGGCGGACGGGUG
rnacentral:rRNA from 1 species